UUUGUUUAUUACACUUUGUUGCUUUGGCAAGCCUGCCCUCGGGCUGCUGGCUCCGGCCGGCGAGCGCUUGCCAGAGGACCUAAACUCUGUUUGUCUAUACUGUCUGAGUACUAUAUAAUAGUUAAAACUUUCAACAACGGAUCUCUUGGUUCUGGCAUCGAUGAAGAACGCAGCGAAAUGCGAUAAGUAAUGUGAAUUGCAGAAUUCAGUGAAUCAUCGAAUCUUUGAACGCACAUUGCGCCCCCUGGUAUUCCGGGGGGCAUGCCUGUCCGAGCGUCAUUACAACCCUCAAGCUCAGCUUGGUGUUGGGCCCCGCCGCCCCGGCGGGCCCUAAAGUCAGUGGCGGUGCCGUCCGGCUCCGAGCGUAGUAAUUCUUCUCGCUCUGGAGGUCCGGUCGUGUGCUCGCCAGCAACCCCCAAUUUUUUUCAGGUUGACCUCGGAUCAGGUAGGGAUACCCGCUGAACUUAAGCAUAUCAAUAA
rnacentral:rRNA from 2 species